UACGUAGGGGGCAAGCGUUGUCCGGAAUCAUUGGGCGUAAAGAGCGUGUAGGCGGCCAGAUAAGUCCGCUGUGAAAACUCGAGGCUUAACCUCGAGAUGUCAUCGGAAACCAUCUGGCUAGAGUCCGGAAGAGGAGAGUGGAAUUCCUGGUGUAGCGGUGAAAUGCGCAGAUAUCAGGAAGAACACCAAUGGCGAAAGCAGCUCUCUGGGGACGGUACUGACGCUGAGACGCGAAAGCGUGGGGAGCGAACAGG
rnacentral:rRNA from 1 species